UUAGAUGGCGACCGGCGCACGGGUGAGUAACACGUAUCCAACCUGCCGAUAGACUCGGGAUAGCCUUUCGAAAGAAAGAUUAAUACCCGAUGGCAUAGUUCUUCCGCAUGGUGGAACUAUUAAAGAAUUUCGGUCAUCGAUGGGGAUGCGUUCCAUUAGGUUGUUGGCGGGGUAACGGCCCACCAAGCCUUCGAUGGAUAGGGGUUCUGAGAGGAAGGUCCCCCACAUUGGAACUGAGACACGGUCCAAACUCCUACGGGAGGCAGCAUG
rnacentral:rRNA from 1 species